GCCGUGAUAGUAUAGAGGUCAGUACUCUGCGUUGUGGCCGCAGCGACCCCGGUUCAAUUCCGGGUCAUGGCA